rnacentral:rRNA from 1 species
AUUGAACGCUGGCGGCAGGCCUAACACAUGCAAGUCGAGCGAGCGGCGGACGGGUGAGUAAUGUAUGGGGACUGCCCGAUAGAGGGGGAGAACUACUGGAAACGGUGGCUAAUACCGCACACUGGCGGAUAACCCACAUGGGAUUAGCUAGUAGGUCAGGUAAUGGCUUACCUAGACGACGAUCCCUAGCUGGUCUGAGAGGAUGAGCAGCCACACUGGGACUGAGACACGGCCCAGACUCCUACGGAGGCAGCAGUGGGGAAUAUUGCACAAUGGGCGCAAGCCUGAUGCAGCCAUGCCGCGUGUAUGAAGAAGGCCCUAGGGUUUUAAAGUACUUUCAGUCGGGAGGCGUUACCGGCAGAAGAAGCACCGGCUAACUCCGUGCCAGCCGCCGCGGUAAUAC